UCAGGCUGCACGUUUCGUUCUA
rnacentral:siRNA from 1 species